rnacentral:rRNA from 1 species
UACGUAGGGGGCGAGCGUUGUCCGGAAUUAUUGGGCGUAAAGAGCGUGUAGGCGGUUCGGUAAGUCUGCCGUGAAAACCUGGGGCUCAACCCCGGGCGUGCGGUGGAUACUGCCGGGCUAGAGGGUGGUAGAGGCGAGUGGAAUUCCCGGUGUAGCGGUGAAAUGCGCAGAUAUCGGGAGGAACACCAGUAGCGAAGGCGGCUCGCUGGGCCAUUCCUGACGCUGAGGAGCGAAAGCGUGGGGAGCGAACAGG